rnacentral:rRNA from 1 species
UUGUGAAAUGUUGGGUUAAGUCCCGCAACGAGCGCAACCCUUAUCCUUUGUUGCCAGCGGUCCGGCCGGGAACUCAAAGGAGACUGCCAGUGAUAAACUGGAGGAAGGUGGGGAUGACGUCAAGUCAUCAUGGCCCUUACGACCAGGGCUACACACGUGCUACAAUGGCGCAUACAAAGAGAAGCGACCUCGCGAGAGCAAGCGGACCUCAUAAAGUGCGUCGUAGUCCGGAUUGGAGUCUGCAACUCGACUCCAUGAAGUCGGAAUCGCUAGUAAUCGUGGAUCAGAAUGCCACGGUGAAUACGUUCCCGGGCCUUGUACACACCGCCCGUCACACCAUGGGAGUGGGUUGCAAAAGAAGUAGGUAGCUUAACCUUCGGGAGGGCGCUUACCACUUUGUGAUUCAUGACUGGGGUGAAGUCGUAACAAGGUAACCGUAGGGGAACCUGCGGUUGGAUCACCUCCUUACCUUAAAGAAGC